rnacentral:rRNA from 1 species
GGGUUCUACCGUUGGUCGGGCUAUCCAGUUUGUACUAGCGUGUAGAAUUCCUACCUUCUGGAGAACCAUCAUGUUAUUAAUUUAGCGUGGUGGGAAACAGGACCUUUACAUUGAAAAAAUUAGAGUGUUCAAAGCAGGCUUACGUCUGAAUACAUUAGCAUGAAACAAUAAAAUAGGACGGUGGUCCUGUUUUGUUGGUUUCUGAAUCACCGUAAUGAUUAA